AAACAAUUGAAGUUAGCCUUGUUGUUAUUAGUUCAGCUCCUUCUGGGGUGUAUUCUAAUGGCCAACAGACCAACAUCAAUUCUAUAGUGUUGGAUAAGGGUUUGGGAAAUGUAGCAGUCUUUGACUGUGUUAUAGUCCUGGACUUUGAUACAGUGCUUGGGAUUGAGGAAUGCAGUAAGCUACUCUUGUGGCGGGACAAUUUUAUUGUUCUUCUUACUGAGGAUGUUGGGUAUAGCUUCAACUGA
rnacentral:rRNA from 1 species